UCGAAGGUGGGACUGGCGAUUGGGACGAAGUCGUAACAAGGUAGCCGUACCGGAAGGUGCGGCUGGAUCACCUCCUUUCUAAGGAG
rnacentral:rRNA from 1 species